AGUGAAUACUUUUAAUACGCUUUUUACUAGUAUAAUAAGCAACCUGUCUGAGCUUUAGCACAAACUACCGUGUUCAUCUCUCUUGCAGAGGCAACCCAGAACCCAAGGAGUAAAAAAAGCGUGGCACCGAGCCCUCCUUCGGCAGCGGCCCGCGGCGUAGCGUGGGCGGCGGUCGGAGAGGCGUGGUGGACGACGCCUCAGAAGAGGAGGUGGACUCCCAGGGCGACUUCAACGGCACCAAGUCCUCCGAGUAGGAAGAUCCACGGAGUCGGUCCACCAUGUCGGCCGAGAGUUUAUAAAGAGGGCCCAUGACGACAUGCAUACUAAAAAAUAAAUUCUAUCUUCACUUUUUAAACGUGUAUUUCUAAACUCCAGUCGUGUACUGAUGUGUCCGCUUUUUUUAUUUACUGAGCACUUUCUUUUUUAAAUGAAAACCAAAACAAGGACUUCGUAGGAGAUCUUUCGGGGUGUUACAGGGGUGAUACCGCUGCCGUUAUUCGUGUGAUUUGCAAUGUCCACAGUUUUUGUACUGCACUGAAUGACGUGGUUUGUAGCCACUUUAAAAGUGCAUCUUACCAAAUGCCUUUCCACCACUGUUCAAAGAGAAGCAGCAUUGUCAAGAUUAGUCUGUUAAUGUCAGUUUAAAACCUGUUGCCUGCGCUGCCGUCAUUUUUAUUUUUUCUUGCACAUCCUGCUUGGAUGGCUUCAGACAUUUUACAUCCAAUCCUAUUUAAGUUUGACCAGUUUCCCCAUAACGAUCACCCAGUUACAUUUGAAUAAAUUAAAAUAAUUGCUUGAAUUGGCAGGAUUUCUUGAGCACCGUUUUUUUUACUCCAAUGGUGGCUUCCACAGUAGACACAGAAACAGUCUUACACAUAAAACAUGUUCCGAGUCAACUUAUGGAGAAGUUUCAGGUACCUUCCUAUCACUGCACUUUGCUUACGACCACAUUGACCCGUUUCAGAGAACCUAUGCUCUUAAUAUGUGAUGAUCGUCAAAAGAUGGAAAACUCAAAGCAAUACGUUGAUCCACUCGUCCAUGUUGCCUGUAAUCCAUUGCCGUUUCCAUGUCACCCUUCUCAUCUAUUCAUUGUGAAACCACCUGCACAAGAAAUAAAGGCUUAAAAAAUAAAAUGAUAGAGGGACUCUCCUUUUAUUGUUUCCGUCUCGCUGAAUGACAACACACUGCAUAGUGAUAUUAUUAUCUGCUCAUCUUGAUACAAAAUGCAAACAAACACGAUAGAAGAUAUGGUUAUUGUUGGAGCUCCACAGGCACAUACAGUAGUCUAGGUGGAUGCAUUGUAGCAUGGCCAGAUACAGUCUGUAAGCUCACAUGACAUCAGCAGGGGGUGUGUGUGCAACAACUUAGGUCACACACACACACAACUUGGUGGAUCGUUAACCGGUACUAAUUGGUCCACUCUUGUAUGUGCCGAGACGUUAAGCAAAAACAUACUAGUGAAACAUUGUUCUUAAAUGUACAAUAUUCCACAUGGAUUCCCUGUAUUCGUAAUAACCAACACGACACGGCAGAGCAUUCCUUAAAGUUCCUGGAGGGGUAGAAAUCAAUAAUAGAAAAUAUUUUUCAUGUUUCUGCUGGAAGAACAGUGUCUCAACAAAUCUUAAACCCUCUCUAAACAUCUCAACCUGCAUAUCUGCUGAUCCUCUUUCGUUGGGACACUAAAAGUAGAUAUUCUCUCCUCUUUCAACUUUAAACCAGAUAAUGGCUAAAUAAACUAAAUCCCAACUCUGUAUUGUUAUAAACUCUAACCCUAGCUCUAGUAAACGGCUGAGUGGGCCGUUUCAAGUCACAAGCUUCUCCCCGAUCUGAGAUCAACUCCCGGACGGGCCACUAGUCGACCCAAAGCAUCUGGUUCAAUUAAAACUUGAAUGUGUACUUUUGAGUUCCUGCUUGUGCUAAUGCUACUAAAGUAGCAGAACCCUGCCUUCUGCUGGCCCGGCCGAGAGUUCAAAGGUCGGCCGAUGGGAUGGUUCCAGGUCUGCUCUGAUAAAGAAGAUUCAGCUAUUAAAGGCAGUAACGGCAAAGCUGGGGAAACCCUCGACUCCAUCUCAACACACCAUAGUCUAACAUCAUUGUACAACAACAUUAUAAUAGAUGGCUUCUAUUCUUCAAUCCUAUUCUGUUUAUACUAGAAUAUUAUGUUCAAAACUUGAUUAGUUCGAGACCGCUUAUUGGCUCUUUCUAAACCCUGAAUUUGUUCAAAGUAAAACCAUUAUAUUUAAAGACACUAUGUUAGUUUUUUUUUUAAAUGCCAUCACCUAGGCGAUGGGACCUUUUAAUCUGCUUCAAGUUUGGCAUCACGAUCAUAAAUCUGUUAGCUUUAUACUGUAUAGUUUCCUCUCCAUGGUCUCAAAGUCUGUGCACAGCGAGCUAUCGACAGCGAGGCCCAGUGUGUCACAGUGUCAACGUCCUGCUGUCGUGAAAUGUGUAAAGUACACCCGGACCGAUCGAACACUCCGGUACCAGCAGACCCAGUCCUCUCCUGCCAGUGGGAGUACUGCCGUAGCCCUCCGACGCAGCAGGGGGCGCCCUCCUGUCCACAGAGGGUCGGUGGCCAGAGGGGUGGCCUCCGACGUGGGGACAGCGAUGGAGGUCCCCAUCUGGGUCGGUUCAUUGAUAUCGUAGCAUCGGGAUGCAGAGAGGCCGGGACAGGAACAGCAGAAGCCAUUGUGCUGGUUAUGUGUGGUGGGGGGGGGGGGGGCAGCCAUUCAGACAGUCUUAGAGGGCCUGUUAGGACGUGGGUUUAAGUCUCCAUGCGGUGGUCCCGAGGGGGUAGUGGGGGCUUGGUCCUUGGAUUACAGCAGGAUCUUGACCCCUCCCUGGGGGGACUGGGGGCCCUGGGUGACGCCGCGUGGAGGAGCCGGUCCGAACUCUAACCGCUUCACCAGGCUG
ensembl:lncRNA